GACGAACGCUGGCGGCGUGCUUAACACAUGCAAGUCGAACGGUAAGGCUCCAGCUUGCUGGGGUACACGAGUGGCGAACGGGUGAGUAACACGUGGGUGACCUGCCCUGCACUUCGGGAUAAGCCUGGGAAACUGGGUCUAAUACCGGAUAGGACCGCACCGUGAGGGUGUGGUGGAAAGUUUUUUCGGUGUGGGAUGGGCCCGCGGCCUAUCAGCUUGUUGGUGGGGUAAUGGCCUACCAAGGCGGCGACGGGUAGCCGGCCUGAGAGGGUGGACGGCCACAUUGGGACUGAGACACGGCCCAGACUCCUACGGGAGGCAGCAGUGGGGAAUAUUGCACAAUGGGCGGAAGCCUGAUGCAGCGACGCCGCGUGGGGGAUGACGGCCUUCGGGUUGUAAACUCCUUUCACCAUCGACGAAGGGUUUCUGACGGUAGAUGGAGAAGAAGCACCGGCUAACUACGUGCCAGCAGCCGCGGUAAUACGUAGGGUGCGAGCGUUGUCCGGAAUUACUGGGCGUAAAGAGCUCGUAGGUGGUUUGUCGCGUCGUCUGUGAAAUUCCGGGGCUUAACUCCGGGCGUGCAGGCGAUACGGGCAUAACUUGAGUACUGUAGGGGAGACUGGAAUUCCUGGUGUAGCGGUGAAAUGCGCAGAUAUCAGGAGGAACACCGGUGGCGAAGGCGGGUCUCUGGGCAGUAACUGACGCUGAGGAGCGAAAGCAUGGGGAGCGAACAGGAUUAGAUACCCUGGUAGUCCAUGCCGUAAACGGUGGGCGCUAGGUGUGGGUUUCCUUCCACGGGAUCCGUGCCGUAGCUAACGCAUUAAGCGCCCCGCCUGGGGAGUACGGCCGCAAGGCUAAAACUCAAAGGAAUUGACGGGGGCCCGCACAAGCGGCGGAGCAUGUGGAUUAAUUCGAUGCAACGCGAAGAACCUUACCUGGGCUUGACAUAUACAGGAUCGCGCCAGAGAUGGUGUUUCCCUUGUGGCUUGUAUACAGGUGGUGCAUGGUUGUCGUCAGCUCGUGUCGUGAGAUGUUGGGUUAAGUCCCGCAACGAGCGCAACCCUUGUCUUAUGUUGCCAGCACGUUGUGGUGGGGACUCGUAAGAAACUGCCGGGGUUAACUCGGAGGAAGGUGGGGAUGACGUCAAAUCAUCAUGCCCCUUAUGCCCAGGGCUUCACACAUGCUACAAUGGUCGGUACAGUGGGUUGCCAGUCCGUGAGGGCGAGCUAAUCCCGCAAAGCCGGUCUCAGUUCGGAUCGGGGUCUGCAACUCGACCCCGUGAAGUCGGAGUCGCUAGUAAUCGCAGAUCAGCAACGCUGCGGUGAAUACGAACGGCGGGCCU
rnacentral:rRNA from 1 species